GAUGAACGCUGGCGGCGUGCUUAACACAUGCAAGUCGAACGAUGAAGCCCAGCUUGCUGGGUGGAUUAGUGGCGAACGGGUGAGUAACACGUGAGUAACCUGCCCUUAACUCUGGGAUAAGCCUGGGAAACUGGGUCUAAUACCGGAUAGGAGCGUCCACCGCAUGGUGGGUGUUGGAAAGAUUUAUCGGUUUUGGAUGGACUCGCGGCCUAUCAGCUUGUUGGUGAGGUAAUGGCUCACCAAGGCGACGACGGGUAGCCGGCCUGAGAGGGUGACCGGCCACACUGGGACUGAGACACGGCCCAGACUCCUACGGGAGGCAGCAGUGGGGAAUAUUGCACAAUGGGCGCAAGCCUGAUGCAGCGACGCCGCGUGAGGGAUGACGGCCUUCGGUUUGUAAACCUCUUUCAGUAGGGAAGAAGCGAAAGUGACGGUACCUGCAGAAGAAGCACCGGCUAACUACGUG
rnacentral:rRNA from 1 species